CCGCCUGAGGCAUGCCCACCUGUGCCACCAUCCUCGUAGGGCCGGCUGGGCCGCCCCAGGGCGCCGAGAGUCCGCCUGCGGGGUCCAGGACCUUGCUAGGUUGGAACUGGCUACCCAGCAAAACUCUCAGCAAUCCUGCUUCAGUCUCCUGAAUGCUGGCCUUUCAGGACAUCAGUCACAUGCAGCUGGGGCCCAGUAUAGGCCCUCCUUUACCCAUGAUGUCCUGUCUAAGGGCUGUGUCUGCGGAUGCAGACACACCUGGAUGUACUGGGUUUAGGACUCAGUAUACAAAUUAGAGGUGCGGCACGAUUCAAAACAAGACCUUUCCUAGCGUGGCCACAACCUGUCCUUUCAAGUUGCCCUCCCACUGCACCAGUAGCCUGCUGCUAGACCUGUCUCCCAGCCACCCGAACCCUGCCCCUUCCCUCCCCGGCAGUCUCUUUAUCCUCUGCCCUGUGCCAGUAGACACUCAGCCUUG